rnacentral:rRNA from 1 species
GACGAACGCUGGCGGCGUGCUUAACACAUGCAAGUCGAACGGAAAGGCCCCUUUGGGGGUACUCGAGUGGCGAACGGGUGAGUAACACGUGAGUAACCUGCCCUUGACUUCGGGAUAACUUCAGGAAACUGGGGCUAAUACCGGAUAGGAAUCCUUGCUGCAUGGUGGGGGUUGGAAAGCUUCGGCGGUUUUGGAUGGACUCGCGGCUUAUCAGCUUGUUGGUGGGGUAGUGGCUUACCAAGGCUUUGACGGGUAGCCGGCCUGAGAGGGCGACCGGCCACAUUGGGACGGAGAUACGGCCCAGACUCCUACGGGAGGCAGCAGUGGGGAAUAUUGCACAAUGGGCGGAAGCCUGAUGCAGCAACGCCGCGUGCGGGAUGACGGCCUUCGGGUUGUAAACCGCUUUCAGCAGGGGCGAAGCUUGUGGUGACGGUACCUGCAGAAGAAGCACCGGCUAACUACGUG